CCGGGAAGGUGAGAGAGGUGGUUGAUUGGCCCCAGCCUACUUCCGAGGUGCAGCUACAACAUUUCCUGGGGUUCGCCAACUUCUAUCCCUGCUUUAUCCGGGGUUACAGCACCCUGGAUUUCCCCCUGUCAGCACUCACCUCGCUCAAGGUUCCGUUCACGUGGUCUCCAGCUGCUGACUGGGCGUUUCGGGCCCUCAAACAUCGCUUCACCACAGCUCCCAUCUUGGUUCGUCCUGACCCAUCCCGUCAGUUUGUUGUGGAGGCUGAUGCUUCUGAUGUCGGAGUGGGGGCUGUACUGUCCCAGCGUUCUGCCCUGGACCUCAAGCUACAUCCCUGCGCCUUUUUCUCACAUUGCCUCAACGCCACGGACAGGAACUACGAUGUGGCGAAUCAUGUGCUUCUCGCGGUGAAGAUGGUGUUGGAGGCACUGGAUAGAGCGGGCAGAACAUCCAUUCAUCGUGUGGACCAACCACAAGAACCUGGAGUAUCUCCGCACCUCCAAGUGCCUCAACUCCAGGCAAGCCAGAUGGGCCCUGCUGUUCACACAGUUCAACUUCUCCCUCUUGUAUCCAAGAAUGUCAAGCCGGAUGCACUGUCCCGCCGCUAUAGCCCCACGACUACGACCCCAUAACCCGAGACUAUCCUUCCCAUUUCGUGCCUGGCGACGGCACUCAGCUAGGGAAUAGGGAAGCAGGUCUGUGAGGUGCAGAGUUCCCAGCCGAACCCCAGGGGGACCCUGAAAACCGGAUGUUUGUUCCUGACGUUGUCCUUUCUGCGGUCCUGGAGUGGGCCCACUCCUCCAAGCUUGCUUGCCACCCGGGCUCCCGUCAGACCCUGGCCUUUGUGCCACAGCGCUUUUGGUGGCCUACCAUGGUCCCUGACGUGUCCGCAUUCAUUGCUGCAUGCACAGUUUGUGCACAGAACAGGACUCCUCUGCAAGCUCCGGCUGGUCUCCUCCAACCUCUGCCUGUCCCUCAUCGUCUCUGGUCUCAUAUCUGCCUUGACUUUGGCACGGGUCUCCCCUGUCUGAUGGCAACACUGCCAUCCUGACCACGGUGGAUUGGUUUUCCAAAGCCACCCACUUCAUUCCUCUCCCCAAACUACUGCCAAAGAGACGGCCCAGCUCAUGGUGCAUUACGUCUUCUGGAUCCAUGGACUACCAGUAGACAUGGUCUCUGACCUGGGUCCUCAUUUCGCGUCCCAGUUCUGGAAGUCAUUCUGCACCUUCAUUAGGUCGUCGGUCAGACUGUCCUUGGGUUCCAAUCCCACCACCUGGAGCCAGCAGCUUGUGUGGGUUGAAUAUGCCCGCAACACCCUUCAUUGCUCUGACACGGGCCUAUCUCCUAUUUAGUGUUCCCUGGGGUGUUCCCUGAGCAGGAAGAAGAAGUCGGCAAUACCUUCUGCCCAGAUUUUUGUCCGCCGCUGUUGUCGUACCUGGAAGAGAGCCUGAUCGGCCCUCCUCGAGACCACCUCCAGGUAUCGAUGACAAGCGGAUCACCACCGGACCCCUAUCUCCCCGGUACGUCUCGGUAGAAGGUAUAGCUGUCCACCCGGGAUCUGCCCAUCCGGGUGGAAUCCCGCACACUCUCCCCCCGGUUUAUCGGCCCCUUUCCCAUCUCCAAAAUGUCAAAGUGGAAGAUUAUUUAAAUGUCUUAAUUUUUUUCUUUAUGGAAAAUAAA
ensembl:lncRNA